rnacentral:rRNA from 1 species
UACGGAGGAUGCAAGCGUUAUCCGGAUUUAUUGGGUUUAAAGGGUGCGCAGGUUGUUUGAUAAGUCAGUGGUGAAAGUCUGUCGCUUAACGGUAGGAUUGCCAUUGAUACUGUUAGACUUGAAUAUGGAUGAGGUAGGCGGAAUGUGUAGUGUAGCGGUGAAAUGCUUAGAGAUCACACAGAAUAUCGAUUGCGAAGGCAGCUCACAAAGCCAAGAUUGACGCUGAGGCACGAAAGUGUGGGGAGUCAAACA